UACGUAGGGGGCAAGCGUUGUCCGGAAUCAUUGGGCGUAAAGAGCGUGUAGGCGGCUCGAUAAGUCUGCUGUGAAAGUCCAGGGCUCAACCCUGGAAGGCCGGUGGAAACUGUCGGGCUAGAGUCCGGAAGAGGAGAGCGGAAUUCCUGGUGUAGCGGUGGAAUGCGCAGAUAUCAGGAAGAACACCCGUGGCGAAGGCGGCUCUCUGGGACGGUACUGACGCUGAGACGCGAAAGCGUGGGGAGCGAACAGG
rnacentral:rRNA from 1 species